rnacentral:rRNA from 1 species
AUUGAACGCUGGCGGCAGGCCUAACACAUGCAAGUCGAACGGUAACAGGAAGAAGCUUGCUUCUUUGCUGACGAGUGGCGGACGGGUGAGUAAUGUCUGGGAAACUGCCUGAUGGAGGGGGAUAACUACUGGAAACGGUAGCUAAUACCGCAUAACGUCGCAAGACCAAAAAGGGGGACCUUCGGGCCUCUUGCCAUCGGAUGUGCCCAGAUGGGAUUAGCUAGUAGGUGGGGUAACGGCUCACCUAGGCAACGAUCCCUAGCUGGUCUGAGAGGAUGACCAGCCACACUGGAACUGAGACACGGUCCAGACUCCUACGGGAGGCAGCAGUGGGGAAUAUUGCACAAUGGGCGCAAGCCUGAUGCAGCCAUGCCGCGUGUAUGAAGAAGGCCUUCGGGUUGUAAAGUACUUUCAGCGGGGAGGAAGGGAGUAAAGUUAAUACCUUUGCUCAUUGACGUUACCCGCAGAAGAAGCACCGGCUAACUCCGUG